rnacentral:rRNA from 1 species
GUGAAUCAUCGAAUCUUUGAACGCACCUUGCACUCUUUGGUAUUCCGAAGAGUAUGUCUGUUUGAGUGUCAUGAAACUCUCAACCCCCUCAUUUUGUAAUGGAAUGAGCUGUGGGCUUGGAUUGUGGCUGUCUGUCGGCGUAAAUGCCGGCUCAGCUGAAAUUGACGAGCGACCCAGUUUGAAUACCAGACGGCUUGACUCGGCGUAAUAACUAUUUCGCUGAGGACGUCUAACUUUCAAAUCGUUAGUGGUGCUUCUAAUGCAUUUAUAAUUUAAGCUUUAGACCUCAAAUCAGUCAGGACUACCCGCUGAACUUAA